GCUUGCUCUCUGGGUGGCGAGUGGCGGACGGGUGAGGAAUACAUCGGAAUCUACCUUGUCGUGGGGGAUAACGUAGGGAAACUUACGCUAAUACCGCAUACGACCUUCGGGUGAAAGUGGGGGACCGCAAGGCCUCACGCGAUUAGAUGAGCCGAUGUCGGAUUAGCUAGUUGGCGGGGUAAAAGCCCACCAAGGCGACGAUCCGUAGCUGGUCUGAGAGGAUGAUCAGCCACACUGGAACUGAGACACGGUCCAGACUCCUACGGGAGGCAGCAGUGGGGAAUAUUGGACAAUGGGCGCAAGCCUGAUCCAGCCAUACCGCGUGGGUGAAGAAGGCCUUCGGGUUGUAAAGCCCUUUUGUUGGGAAAGAAAUCCUGUCGAUUAAUACUUGGCGGGGAUGACGGUACCCAAAGAAUAAGCACCGGCUAACUUCGUGCCAGCAGCCGCGGUAAUACGAAGGGUGCAAGCGUUACUCGGAAUUACUGGGCGUAAAGCGUGCGUAGGUGGUGGUUUAAGUCUGCUGUGAAAGCCCUGGGCUCAACCUGGGAAUUGCAGUGGAUACUGGGUCACUAGAGUGUGGUAGAGGGAUGCGGAAUUUCUGGUGUAGCAGUGAAAUGCGUAGAGAUCAGAAGGAACAUCCGUGGCGAAGGCGGCAUCCUGGGCCAACACUGACACUGAGGCACGAAAGCGUGGGGAGCAA
rnacentral:rRNA from 1 species